AAGACCUUGCGUUUUUGGAGCGGCCGAUGUCUGAUUAGCUAGUUGGUAGGGUAAUGGCCUACCAAAGCUUCGAUCAGUAGCUGGUCUGAGAGGACGACCAGCCACACUGGGACUGAGACACGGCCCAGACUCCUACGGGAGGCAGCAGUGGGGAAUUUUGGACAAUGGGCGCAAGCCUGAUCCAGCCAUGCCGCGUGAGUGAAGAAGGCCUUCGGGUUGUAAAGCUCUUUCAGCCGGGAAGAAAAGGCUACGACGAAUAAUCGUAGCUUAUGACGGUACCGGAAGAAGAAGCACCGGCUAACUACGUGCCAGCAGCCGCGGUAAUACGUAGGGUGCGAGCGUUAAUCGGAAUUACUGGGCGUAAAGGGUGCGCAGGCGGUUUUGUAAGUCAGAUGUGAAAUCCCCGGGCUUAACCUGGGAACU
rnacentral:rRNA from 1 species